GACGAACGCUGGCGGCGUGCCUAAUACAUGCAAGUCGAACGCAUUUUCUUUCACCGUAGCUUGCUACACCGAAAGAAAAUGAGUGGCGAACGGGUGAGUAACACGUGGGUAACCUGCCCAUCAGCGGGGGAUAACACUUGGAAACAGGUGCUAAUACCGCAUAAUUCCAUUUACCGCAUGGUAGAUGGGUGAAAGGCGCUUUUGCGUCACUGAUGGAUGGACCCGCGGUGCAUUAGCUAGUUGGUGGGGUAACGGCCUACCAAGGCUGCGAUGCAUAGCCGACCUGAGAGGGUGAUCGGCCACACUGGGACUGAGACACGGCCCAGACUCCUACGAGAGGCAGCAGUAGGGAAUCUUCGGCAAUGGACGCAAGUCUGACCGAGCAACGCCGCGUGAGUGAAGAAGGUUUUCGGAUCGUAAAACUCUGUUGUUAGAGAAGAACAAGGAUGAGAGUGGAAAGUUCAUCCCUUGACGGUAUCUAACCAGAAAGCCACGGCUAACUACGUG
rnacentral:rRNA from 1 species